UUUUUUUUCUCACAAUACUCAAAGAGCCCUCCAAAUGGCUCUUAUUGCCAUACCCGUUUCACAGAAGGAGGAACUCAGGUCCUUGGGAGACUAACCAGCUGGUACAUUACAUUGAUCAAGGAAUUCUUGCUUACUCUGAGAAAGUAAACAUAAACUCCAAAGGCCCUUAAUUAUUUUGCCCGCCUGAGAACAAUGCUUCCAGAGAAGUGAGAGGAGAGCCCCCCACCACGGGGAACUGCGUUCCUGACACUAUCAGCAGGAGGAGAAAGCGAAGCAUAUGACAGUGCGGUGACGAUCGCCUACAUUCCCUGCUCAGUCAGUCUUCCUUCACGUUCGCCGCUUAGCAUGACCACAAGAAGACGCAGCCCAGAAUCGAUGGUGAAGAUGACCACAGUGAUAGCUUCCACUUACUGAGUCAUAGAGCACUCCACUGCUCCAUGUCAAGCCCUGGGAUGAACCUUGACAUCCACGUCUCAAUGGAACCUUAAAGAUAUCCUGGACACUACUGCUGAUAGCCCCAUUUUACAGAUGAGGAAACCAAGACAUACAGAUGAGGAAACCGAGACGUAUAUUUGCUCAAGAUAACCUAGCUAGGAACUCCAAUUUGCUCUGUCCAGCCCCAAAGCCCAUUUUUAUAGGUACUGACCUCUGAAUAUACUAUAUGUGUCAGAGAGACCUUUGCCAUUCCUGAUAUAAAAUCUCUCCCACUAACUACUGCAGGAAGGUGGAGUGGAUAAAACAAACACAAAGCAAAGGAGACCGCUGUGUUUCUAAAACGAGAGAAGUCCACGUGUAUUUCAGCUUUAAUCUGUCACAUCCAUGAGGCGACAGCUGUUUCUCUUCUGCCCUCCAGAUGCUGGCACCUAGAGCUUAAAACAUCUGCAAAUUAAAACCGUACAUAGAGCACAUUGCAUUGUUCAGCCAAACACAUUCGUGAGUCUUUGGAGUCAUCAAGGGAAGCCCGUGUUGAAUCUGGGAGUAGGGACUGGAGGAAUGGAAUUGCUCUGCAAAAUGAUUCCCAGAAAAAAUUUCCAUGCUGCUGAGAGUCGAGAAGAGGGAGGGGGCAGAAGGUGAGCUGGCAGAAAUAUACAAGGCGGUUCAGAAAUGAAAGUCCAAUAUUGAACUGUUAGCUGUGUGCGGGGCUGUGACGUGAACUGUUCUGCUUCAUGGAAAUCUGGCUCAUUAACAUGUGCAAAGUGAGUUUUGUGCAAAGAAACUAGAAGCAGAGGAGGGGAACAACCCCAGGAAUGAGAUGUGAGAGGGAUGGUGUUUGAGUGGAGCCAGGGUUCCCAUGAGAGCAGAAUUCCAGAGAAUUCCAGAGGAACUGCAGGAAUCUUCUUGGCCUGGGAUGGGGCGGGCAGAUGAGAAGGUGGCGGCAGACAAUGGUGACACUUGCGGGGUCCUCAUCACAGUCCUGGAAAGGAGACAGGGCAAAUCAUAUAAUUCUACUUUACAGAGGAGAAAACCCAAGACUCAGGCAGGUUGCUCUUCUUGUCCAAUAUCACACAACUGGUGGCAGAAAGGAAAGCCCAGAUUAGGAUGCAGAACUAUAUCCCAUUCCUAGCCCCAGAGUCCCUAACCAUUAUUUGCCAACUGAAGGUAACCAGGAAAAAAAAAAUCAUCAAAGGUAAACGAGUAGCAGGUAUGUACCAACACCAGCCUCCUCCUGCUUGCUGGGCCGCCAGCGAAUGAACUUCACCAUAGUGAGACAAAACAGGAGGGAGGGCAGGGUCAUUUUGAUGCAAAGAACAUUCCUGGAGGAGGAGAAGCAGUAGAACAUCACAGCAAGAAACUCUGGGUGGGUGAACAGGGGGGAUGGUGUUUAAUGAAAUAAUUGAAUAAUCCACCACUACUGAUUCAAACCUAAGCCCCAUGGGAUCAGAGGUCCUAACAGACGCUGCCCUGUCCAUGGGGUAAGAAGGCAGGAAGAGAGGUCCUGGCUCCUCUGCCAUUUUAAUUUUCUUGGCAGAAAUCACAAUAGGAUACUUUGGGUUUGGCACAAGAGCCCACUGACAGCCUGCCUGGGAAAUGUAACUUUCAUGUGUGCCUUGUGACACUCCUCUAUGGACUCUCCUGCAAUCUGAGGACCUGAGAUUUGGGCCAUUUGUGCUUAUUCUUUCACAACCAAUAUUCAUGUCCCAGACUGGGUUCCUCGUGGGUUCUUGCUUACUGGGUAAUUGCUGGUUGAGUUUUCUGCUGUCUUCGCCAUGUAACUUGUGAUUCGCACAGGAUUCUGAACAAGAACCAGGCUGAACUUGUGUCAUCCGUCAUUGUCAGGUGGCCUCAUGGGUGCAUUUCUUCCAGCUGCAUGCUCUUGUAGGAAAGCAUGGUGCUGUCUCCUGAUGGCUUCUGUCCCUGGAGCUGCUCCUGAUGACUGCUGUCCCUCAGGCUAUCACCUAAUGACUCCAUUCCCUGAGGCUGUCUUUGAUUGCUGCUGUCCCUAGGGUCACUCCCAGAAUUCUGCCUGAUGCUAAGUGGGAGUAAGCAGUCAAGCCACAGAAUGAUAGGAUGCAAAAGCAAGGAGACUCUGAGCUCUUAGAGGAGUCAGAGGUGGGUGAACACACAUCUUUGCCUGGGGUGGCCCCACUGGAAUCUAUUGUCUCAGUGCCAUUAUUAAUAACAUCCUUUUCAAUCUCAAAAUGUCCCAGGGUGGAUGAUAAAUUAUGUAGGAUCAUCCUACUUGAGUGGUCAUCUAAGUCAUUUUUUUAAAAGGUUUUAGCUCAGCUUUGAAGACCCUCCUUCAAACAGACUCCUGGUGCCUUGUGUGUAAAACAGAAGAAAGUGGAGCUGCUCUAGUUAAAGAAGUGGGAGGCUGAUGUCCUCCAUCACUCGAACCCCACCCCACAGAGGCAGCCCUCCGCCAGCCUGUGGAAGUUGUAGAGCUCAAUGCAGCCCAUGUGGCACCCACUAUCUUAAUUUUACAGAUAAGGAAACUGAGCUUACGGGACUACUUAGGGUCACAUCACUGAGUUAGUGGAAGAGCCCACGCUAGAACUCACGUCAUGCAGCCCCACAGAGAUCUCUCCCCCAUGCCAACUCUCCUGCCUUCUGAUUUGCCAAAAGGUUUUAAAAUUAAGUGGCCAGCUGGGCCCGGUGGCACAUGCCUGUAAUCCUAGUGGCUUGGGAGGCUGAGGCAGGAGGAUCGCAAGUUCAAAGCUAGCCUCAGCAAAGACAAGGCGCUUAGCAACUCAGUGAGACCCUGUCUCUAAAUAAAAUACAAAAAAAGGGCUGGAGAUGUGGCUCAGUGAUCUAGUGCCCCUGAAUUCAAUCCCUGGUCCCUCCCUACCCCCAUCAAAAAAAUAAAAAUAAAAGAACUAAGUGGCCAAAUGCAAAAUAUUGUGCAAACUCUGGGUGUGUGUGCAUGUGUGUGUGUAUUUUUUAUUUUAAGUAGUAUCCUUUUUGUGCAUCUGGCUUGUUUCAUUCAUGUUACUGCAAACAGGAUUUUAUUUUAUUUUUUAUUUUUUAUGGCUGAAUAGAAUUCCAUUGUCUAUCUAUUCUACAUUUUCUUAUUCUUUCUGAAGGACACCAGGUGGAUUCCAUGCCUUGG